GCAGGAGUGCCUGAGUGGUCAAAAGGGCGUGGCUCAAGACCACGUGGCUUAGUGCCUUCGCAGGUUCAAACCCUGCCUCCUGCA
rnacentral:tRNA from 1 species